UUCUUGGACAGGUGAAAAAACAUCAAGCCCCCAAUACGAUAUAUUUUUAAAUUUUCUACAUAAUUGUAAACUGCAAGUUUAAUUUUUUUAUCGUCCUAAAUUAUGUGAAUUUAUAGGAAGUUAUCAAAGCAAUAUCAGGCAAAGGCGAUCCCCUGAAGAUUUUUUUCUUUCUUUGACGACAUGGACGGGAAAGGCUAAGCAGUUAUCGUUCAGACAGGUUCUGUAUCUUUACUCGAUAGAACUUAAUUUAGCAAUUUAACGUAAGAUUGUCCAUGAAUUGUGACCGACUGUUUUGUGGGUGGAUACUACUGAAAGCUUGUUAGGAUGAUUGUAUUAGUAUUUGAAUAUUUAAGCUACAAGAGGCUUGCCAUGUUCUGAACAGAUGAUUGUAAACUACCUUGCAUUAGAGUGAUGGAGCAUUGUUAGGCUGAUGUUCGGAUUAUUGUUAGUUUGCUCUCCUCUCUCUCUCUCUCUCUCUCUCUCUCUCUCUCUCUCUCUCUCUUG
rnacentral:lncRNA from 1 species